UACGUAGGGUGCAAACGUUGUCCGGAAUUAUUGGGCGUAAAGAGCUCGUAGGCGGCCUGUUGCGUCCGCUGUGAAAGCCCGGGGCUUAACCCCGGGUCGGCAGUGGAUACGGGCGGGCUAGAGUUCGGUAGGGGAGACUGGAAUUCCUGGUGUAGCGGUGAAAUGCGCAGAUAUCAGGAGGAACACCGGUGGCGAAGGCGGGUCUCUGGGCCGAUACUGACGCUGAGGAGCGAAAGCGUGGGGAGCGAACAGG
rnacentral:rRNA from 1 species